GAGUUUGAUCCUGGCUCAGAUUGAACGCUGGCGGCAUGCCUAACACAUGCAAGUCGAACGGAAACGAUGGAAGCUUGCUUCCAGGCGUCGAGUGGCGGACGGGUGAGUAAUACUUAGGAAUCUGCCCAAUAGUGGGGGACAACUCGAGGAAACUCGAGCUAAUACCGCAUACGCCCUACGGGGGAAAGCGGAGGAUCUUUCGGGACUUCGCGCUAUUGGAUGAGCCUAAGUCGGAUUAGCUUGUUGGUGAGGUAAAAGCUCACCAAGGCGACGAUCCGUAGCUGGUCUGAGAGGACGAUCAGCCACACUGGGACUGAGACACGGCCCAGACUCCUACGGGAGGCAGCAGUGGGGAAUAUUGGACAAUGGGGGCAACCCUGAUCCAGCAAUGCCGCGUGUGUGAAGAAGGCCUGCGGGUUGUAAAGCACUUUCAGUAGAGAAGAAAAGCUUACGGUUAAUACCCGUGAGUCUUGACGUAACCUACAGAAGAAGCUCCGGCUAACUCCGUGCCAGCAGCCGCGGUAAUACGGAGGGAGCGAGCGUUAAUCGGAAUUACUGGGCGUAAAGCGCGCGUAGGCGGCUUUGUAAGUCGGAUGUGAAAGCCCAGGGCUCAACCCUGGAAUUGCAUUCGAUACUGCAGAACUAGAGUAUGGUAGAGGGAAGUGGAAUUUCCGGUGUAGCGGUGAAAUGCGUAGAUAUCGGAAGGAACACCAGUGGCGAAGGCGACUUCCUGGGCCAAUACUGACGCUGANGUGCGAAAGCGUGGGGAGCAAACAGGAU
rnacentral:rRNA from 1 species